UACGUAGGGACCAAGCGUUGUUCGGAUUUACUGGGCGUAAAGGGCGCGUAGGCGGCAUGACAAGUCACUUGUGAAAUCUUCGGGCUUAACCCGGAACGGCCAAGUGAUACUGUCGCGCUAGAGUGCGGAAGGGGCAAUCGGAAUUCUCGGUGUAGCGGUGAAAUGCGUAGAUAUCGAGAGGAACACCUGCGGCGAAGGCGGGUAGCUGGGCCGACACUGACGCUGAUGCGCGAAAGCCAGGGGAGCGAACGGG
rnacentral:rRNA from 1 species